rnacentral:rRNA from 1 species
CAGCCGCCGCGGGAAUACGAAGGGUGCAAGCGUUACUCGGAAUUACUGGGCGUAAAGCGUGCGUAGGUGGUGGUUUAAGUCCGUUGUGAAAGCCCUGGGCUCAACCUGGGAAUGGCAAUGGAUACUGGCAAGCUAGAGUGUGUCAGAGGAUGGUGGAAUUCCCGGUGUAGCGGUGAAAUGCGUAGAGAUCGGGAGGAACAUCAGUGGCGAAGGCGGCCAUCUGGGACAACACUGACGCUGAGGCACGAAAGCGUGGGGAGCAAACAGGAUUAGAUACCCCAGUAGUCCCUGUCUCUUAUAC